UUCUUACCAUUUUAUGUCUCCCUUUCUCUCUGCUUUUGCCAUUUAUAAUCUCUGGAGCUAUUUUUACUUCCCAAUCACACUGCCUUUCCUCAGAACCAACAUGAGAGAGACUGAAACAGAGAUAUUUAAUUCUGCCCCUGUCCCCAUUGUAUCUCUGCAGAGAGGCUACUAUGCCUAAAAUGUAUUUGAAAAAGAUGUGGAGCUCUCAUCAGUGACUCUAGUAUCUUUUCCUAGUUGAUAAAACAAUGAACCAAUGAGUGUGUGAUGAACUUGUCUUGAAACCUGACUAUGUCUCCCCAGGAGAGGAAUGCACAUUGUUCCCAAGAAUUACUUGAAGUGAGGUAACAAACUGAUUUGGAGAAGAAGACAUAACUGACAGCAUUUCUACAAACAUUUUUUUUUAACUGGGAUACGGUGCUCAUAAGACAGCGGACAACAGAACCUACCUAAACUCCCUGCCCUCUAGAGAAGAAAGUCAUAGCUAUGUCAUGUUCACAUAAAGAAGAGUGGGAUGGCUGGAUCACAUGCCAGUGCUGUUUUCGGAUGAGGAAGAUCACGUCAUCGCAUUUUGCAUACUGCUUUACUGAGUUCCAUCGACCAACAAUAUAUAAGACUUCCUCUUCUCCUAGCUCCUUUGCAGCCUUUGCUUGUCCUCUUUUUGGAUAGUAAUCAUUCUAAAUGAGAUAAGGGGGGUGGAAUUCAUUGUAGUUUUGAUUAACAUUUGUCUGAUGGGUAAGGAUAAUGGGCACAUGCCUGGUGCCCACUGGUACCAUACCUUACAUCUUUAAGUUGUUUUGCACA
rnacentral:lncRNA from 1 species